rnacentral:rRNA from 1 species
UACGUAGGGGGCGAGCGUUGUCCGGAAUCAUUGGGCGUAAAGCGCGUGUAGGCGGCUAUGCAAGUCGGAUGUGAAAGCCCUCGGCUCAACCGGGGAAGUGCACCCGAAACUGCAAAGCUAGAGUCUCGGAGAGGAUCGUGGAAUUCUCGGUGUAGAGGUGAAAUUCGUAGAUAUCGAGAGGAACACCGGUGGCGAAGGCGGCGAUCUGGACGAUGACUGACGCUGAGACGCGAAAGCGUGGGGAGCAAACAGG